GUGAAUCAUCGAAUUUUUGAACGCAAAUUGCACUUUCUGGUAUUCCGGAAAGUAUGCCUGUUUGAGGUUCAGUUAAAUAAAAAUCGGUUUUGUUGUUGCCAUGAGUGGUGAUGCAUCGGAAUUGAGUUGUUCUUUGCUUUUGAGUAUAAGUGACUUAAUGUUUGUGCGAUGUUUAAAUGUAU
rnacentral:misc_RNA from 1 species